rnacentral:rRNA from 1 species
GAGUUUGAUCCUGGCUCAGAACGAACGCUGGCGGCAGGCCUAACACAUGCAAGUCGAACGCACCUUCGGGUGAGCGGCGGACGGGUUAGUAACGCGUGGGAACAUACCCUUUUCUACGGAAUAGCCUCGGGAAACUGAGAGUAAUACCGUAUACGCCCUUCGGGGGAAAGAUUUAUCGGUUAAGGAUUGGCCCGCGUCUGAUUAGAUAGUUGGUGGGGUAAUGGCCUACCAAGUCUACGAUCAGUAGCUGGUUUGAGAGGAUGAUCAGCAACACUGGGACUGAGACACGGCCCAGACUCCUACGGGAGGCAGCAGUGGGGAAUCUUAGACAAUGGGCGCAAGCCUGAUCUAGCCAUGCCGCGUGAGUGACGAAGGCCUUAGGGUCGUAAGGCUCUUUCGCCAGAGAUGAUAAUGACAGUAUCUGGUAAAGAAACCCCGGCUAACUCCGUGCCAGCAGCCGCGGUAAUA